ACUAAAAAUAACUGAUUUAAAGUCUUUGUCCUGUAAAUCUAAUGUUUGUGGUUCCUCAAAUUGAUUUGAUCACUGUUCUUGCUAUGUAAGGGCCACAACACUUGAUUCUUUGUAAUUUUUUGAGGCAGAUAAUUUUUUGUCAAAUUUUGGAUAUUUUGAGUCUUAUAUUGUGUCUCCGAUAAAUCAUUUUCCCUCCUCAGCAUAGUUUGUUGUUGCUGAUUACUGUAUUUGUUGUUUACUUGUUUGUUUAAUGAAUCCUCUGAAUUAAUAUUACUAAGUGUGUAUUCUUUCUCAAAUUGUGGUUACCAAAGUCCCUAUUCUGUUAGCUUAUCCAUUGAUUGAACUGAGUCUUCCUCAAAUGCUUUAAGCCAAAAAAAAUCUCCCAGUUCUGUAUGAGGGUUGAAGAGAGGUUCUGUAUGUAUUAGAGCUCAUCUUUAAAAUCUGGACAAGAGUUUAUAACUCUACCUUGGUCUUCCCUUUCUGCUUGUGCAGAGUCUCAAGGUCAGCCGGUUGUGAGAAUGUGAGAAUUUAAAGGCUUUUAGGUCUUUCCUAAGUAUGUGCAUGAUCCUGAGCACGUGUAUGUCCUUCUAGUUUCCAAGGAAUACGUCAAAGCUUUUCAGAACCCUUACUCCCCAAAAUAUCCCAUUCUCUAGUCUUUCCAUCCAAACUUCCUGACUAGUUUAUUAUCUGUCUCAACAAUUAACCAUUGCCACAGAAACAGUGACUAAAACAUGUUCUUCUAAGCAUUUUGAACAGAUGUCCCUAGAUAGGGACAUUUAACAAAAGGUGAGUUUCAGUUCAGUGAAAUAAAGACAAGCCUUUUCAGUGGGUUUUCUAGGAAAUCACCAGACGUAUCAACUAAGGACAGUUGUGAAUGAGUUUCAUUCUUCUCUUUCAUGCCCCAGUUCUGGGAAUAUGGAAUGUUAUCCUCAAGGCUACCACUGAACUGAGAAGCAGAGCAUGGAUCUAGGGGAAACUGUUCUUCAGUUCUGUUGGUUUUAAUGAGAAAAAAGAGGUGAGAAGAGCCUGCUGUGGACACAUUCCUGAGAAGGAUGCCUCAACAGUCAACAUGGGGAUAAUGCACAUUAGAGACUUCACUUCCUGAAAAAAAAACUGAUAAGUACUGAAAAUGUGUUUCCUUUACUGUAGCACAUCAGGAGCUCUGACUAUAAUCAUUAGAAUAUAGCAUAUCUAGAACAAUUCUUAUGAGGCCUCAUAGCUACUCUAAUCUACAUUUAUAGAAGUCUACCAUUUUCUGCCCACUGUUUCUCUCUUCAACUUCUCUGUUUUUAUCAGUUUAAACAUACAGAAGUAACAUUCAGACAAUGCAUAUUUGGAAGAAAUUACAGUGUAUAUCUAAGAAAAACAGCUUAUUUCUCUUUAUGAAACUCUCCAAAAUCUUCAUCAUAUUUAAAAUAAUGUCAGAGUCCCUGCUAUGACUCAGAAGGUAAAUGAUCCAGUUUGUCUCUGUGGAGGCACUGGUUGGAAUCCUGGCUCAAUGCAUUGUGUUAAGGAUUCAUUGUUACUACAGCUGUGGUAUAGGUCAUAGCUCUGGCUCAGAUUGGAUCCAUGGCCUGGAAACUUCCAUAUGCCUUGGGAGUAGCUGAAAAGAAGAAUGAAUAAAUAUUAUCAGCAAUAUUUAUUAAAACCUGCCAUUGAUUUAAGCAUAAAUUUGUGCAUUAGUUUACUUGAGGGAAAUUCAUAUGCAAAUAUUUAUUGUUUUUUAUAAACUAUAUUUUGGAAGACUGUCACUUUAAUAAUUUAGUAUUAUAAUACACUUUACAUUAAUCCAGAUCUCUAAUUUCCCUCACCAUUAAUUAUGUCCACCACAUUGUUGGUGAGUUUAAGUCUCCUAGAAUAUAUGCCCUAAAAUGGAAAACUUUCAUCAUAAUUUCAUAUAUGAGCACAAUAUUUUAAUGAUGCAUGUGUAUUUGAAAUUAGAAUGAUUUGAUACGUAUGUGACAGAAUUUCAUUAAGCAGAAAAAAUGUUAACAAUGUACCAGAAAUAGUCUAUUUAAUUAACAAGGAAAUAAAUAGUGUUAGAAAGCAACAGCCUAGAUAUGUAGAAAAACAGAUUGAAUAUUUGAUGAAAAAUGAAGGUAAAAUUUAAGUUUCAAUGUAAUAUAAUUGAAAUUAUAAGACAGUCUAUAUUUUAUAUAUCAAAUAUUAUAUUUUAUAUGUAUUAAAUAUAUAUUAAAUACUAUAUUUGUAUCAUUUAUAUACAAGGUAUAUUAUAAAUGCACCUUAAAUCCUCAUAAAUAAAAUACACCAUCUAUCCUUGAAAAUGAGAAAAUUGUUAGUUUCAAUACACUUAACAAAAAGCUAGCUUUGAUUCCAUUUGAAAUUCAUCUAAUAUGAUAAGCUUAACCUAAUGGGAGAAUGCAUGAAUGAAUUCUCAGAAUCCCAUAGAAAGGACUUUGGUAAAUUACAUUUGAUUGAGAUAUAGGUUUUGAUGUUAAGAAUGAAAUAGAAUCCCUGACCAAUUUUUGAGCCAAUUUGGACAAUCAAUUUGAAAAGUGUCUUUGAGGACUGUCCCAGUGUGAAUUUUCAUUUUAUCACCUUUACUAUUGGGAAUAAUAAUAUGUUCACCAGAAACAGAUAUUUGGAUAUUUAGAAUUAAAGAGGUAACCUCAUCCAUAGCCACUGAGAAUUGUAUUUUUCUGAUUUCCUACAGAAUCUGAAAUGGGCUUUCCAUUGACAAUGUCAUGUUCCUUACUAUCCUCUCUCCAUUAGCCUCUGAUCCUCCUAUGACCCUUUAGAUCUUAAGGGAAAAAACAUUAAUAGAUUUAUCCCACUGCAUGUUUAGUACCUUUAACACACUAUUUCAUUGUUCUCAAAUGACAGUCUGCCCAGUAAGUCUGUGAACCUUAGAAAUCACUUUGGAAAGAGUGGCCAUGGCUCUGAGUAGCCAUUUGGUAUUAGAAACCAGACAUACCUGAGCUCACUAAACCUGAUAUGUAAACAGUAUUUCUCAAACCAUCAUGUGCAUAUGCAUUUCUCAUUCUCAUCACUUCUAAAAAUUUACACUUGAGAAUUUUAGUUCUGACCACAGCCUGCAAUUCUUUCAUUUUAUUUCUUACUGUUAUUAACUAUGGUUACCAUCCCUGCUCCAAAUCUGAGGAAGAUGUACUUCUCUUCUCACAGGUGGACCUGCUUAGCUUAAAGAAAUAGUCCCUCAAAAUUUGUUGUCUCCAUGACUGUGUGUGAUGGGAUGGAGAUAAGCUUCCAUUAAAGAUUCCACUAUCUACUGUUAUUCUUUUGUAACCACUUUGAUAUUUUUUCCUUUAUGCAGACUUUAUUCAGAUUUAAUUGACUACUUAUUAUGCUCUUAAAUGUCUGACACUAAAAUGCCUUCAGAGCUUAGAUGAACCAAAUUAACAUUAGAAGUUGCAAAGGUGACUGAAGAAAAUACAUUGCAUUUGACUGCAUAAAAUGUCUUUUUUAAAAGUUGCUAUACUGGUUUUAAUAAUACAGGUCAGCAGCUGCCAGUGAGAAACACAUGUCCAUCCUUUUUCCUACACUUUACACUCUGUACGCUGUUGGUGGACUGUGCCAUUUCUUUUUUUUUUUUUUUUUUCUCGCCAGAAUGACUUUACUUCAAUCUGUACAUGUCUAAGUAGAAAUUGAAUCAAUUAGGCUUGAGUUGGCAGUAUAAAAGUGAAAAAUAAUAAAAAGAAUGUUUUUGUGAAGCAGAAGUUUGCUUUUCUCUGUCAUACAUACACACACAAAUCAGAGAGAAGAAUACAAGGUCAGGGUGGUAGCUCUAUGCCCAUGAGUAACUAAAUCUUUUAACUGUCCACUAUCUUGAGCGACAUAAGACUCAAACUCAAGACUGCUUCUUCAUAAGAUAAUUGUCUAUAUACUUGGCAGAAAAUAAAGAGAUCAUAAAAAUAGUGCUCUCUCAGCUGAGUCAGAGAAUAUUUAAAUAAUGUUACAAUAAGACUCCUCCUAGCUGCAAUGGACACUGGGAAAAAAAGCCGUUAAUUUUGCCAUUUGUCUGUCUGAAAUAAAUGGAGCCCUGGAGAUGCAUUUUUAAAGAAGAGGAGAAUGGGGUAUUUCUUAGGCAACUUGUAGUCUCUGCCACAGCAUCUGUGCACACACUUCUGCUUCAUGGAAUUCCUAUACCUAAUUCUCCAGGUAUAGAUAUUGAGAGUCUCUCAAGGAUUUCACAGCUACAGUGGUCUAUGAAGGGUUUGCUUUUCAUUUUUGUUCGAAGUAAUCUGUAGCUUCUCUAAGCUAAAAAGAUCGUAACUAUACCAUCUUGAAGUUACCUAAAAAUUUGUGUCUGCCAUUAUCAGUGUCUGAGGACAUGAUAUAUCCCAUCCACUUUCUUUGGAAUGAUUUCAUAUUUCUGUUUUAAAGUGCAACAGAUACAAAAGUAUGAUGAAAUACUUACAAUACAUAUAAGUACUAUUUGGAGAUUCCACAGUGACUUCAAGUAGGACUUGUUGAUACAGUAGACAUAUUCACAGCGUAGUUCUAGACAGAACCAGAACAAAAAGGAGAAUAUGAGUUCUAUUUUCUUGUUUUGUUUUGAGGGGCUUAAUACCUCAGAAUCUCAAAAUCUAACAGUUUUAACUUGGGAUAUUGGACACUGUUAUGCUGUUGCUAACCCCUACUAUAGCCAAUAAAUGGCUAGACAUCAAUCACUACAAGAAGAGUAAAGUGGUACAAGUGUCUGACAAAUGAAAUGAUCAAAAGGCAGGCUGUGUUGCUAAGGAGAAAAAGAAACACAUGUAAAGGUAUAGAAGGAAGUGAGGACAUCUGAAUGCCACCUAAUAUGAGGAUUUUUCUAUGCUUCCUUUAUAUAUAAUAUAUUCUAUUUUUAAAUCCAUUUCUGAUUUCAAAUAGAACAGGAAACUCAGAAGUAUUGAAGCAAACCUAUUGCCAGUAUAAGCAACUGUCCAUUGUCUUAAUCAAAUUUUUUAUUCUGCCAGAAUCUAAAGAUUCAUAAGCCCAAAGCAUUGGCAUUUAGUUCCUAAACUGUAGAGUUUAAGGUUAGGAACUAAACUGACUCCUCACAUGUCAAUCCUAGAUGCCAUUGUCCUUUCCAGCAUAGCCAUUCAACCCUAAGGUAUAGCUAACAAUCAAGUAAAGCCUCAUUUUCUUAAUUGUGCUUUGCUUUUUCUCUAAGAGAUAUUUCUUUUCCUAGUAAGCAUAGAAGUAGAUCAUUCCUAUUAAUUUUAGCAGAAGAAAUUAUUUUCAUUCUAGCAUUCAAAAAUUUUAUAAAUGUCCUACAUUGUCCUCUUUUUCUUUGAAAAUCCUAUUUUCAUUCUACAAUUUUGCCUCUAAAACAUGCACCUCACCUGUAUAAUUUUUUUUUCCUUAGGCACUGUGCUUUUUGGAAAGGGAACAUAAGCAACUAAGUGUCUAGGCCACAAUGUCAUACUGGUUAAUGGUUUGAUACUGAUAGUACUCUUUGGAUAUUGACGAAGAUCAGAGUGUAGUGAAAUAAUAAUCAGCUUAUAUGUAAAUGUAACUUUCAUUUCAGAUUACAAUGUAUUAUAAACUAAUAAGCAUUAAAUUCAGUGGAUAAUUUAGAGUUUAAAUGCAUAAGGAAUGCGUUUAUUUUUCUUUUAGUUUUAAAAAAGUACUUUUUAAAUUUGAAAUAAAAGGUAUUUUUACUUAUGUAAUCAACAUAAUGUUUCAUUAUAUGUAAAUAUGUAUAAUCCCCUUGAUACAUAUAGAAGAUAAACAUACAUAGUAUGAUCAAGUUACUGAUGUUACAUAUGAUAUAAUUAUGAAGCAUGAAUUGUUGCAGAUACAGUUCACAGAAUUCUAUAAAUUUUCUAGUAAGUAUGCAGUUGUAUAUCUGGUUUCAAAUAUAGCACAUUUUAAUAUCAAGUGAUAAUGACAUCAAAUGAAAAUAAUUUCACUGACCUGAGCCCUCUGCAGUAUUUCUAAUAGGAUAAAGAUUAAACUGAACUUUAAGAUAAUUUUAAUAGACUAAUAUAAUGCUUUGGGUGGUUCAUGAAAAAAAUAUUUUCUUAAUGAUGCCAUUACCCUACAUUCCUCCAAUCUCUUCCUCUUCGUGUUUAGCCUCCUCCUUGUGAAUCUGCCCAUGGCAAUCUGGAUUUAACCUCAAUAAGUCUCAUAAAACAGCUCCCUAAAGUUAGCAAUUAUGUUCAAAUUGAAAAAUCCUGUGAAAUUUUAUUUGAUUCCUGUUAUAGUUUUCAACAUUAUUUGACACACUUAGCUGCUGCAUUCACCUGGUUUUUCCUCCUCCCUCUUUUUUUUUUUUUUUUUCUUUUUAGGGCUGGACCUAGAGCAUUUGAAAGUUCUCAGGCUAGGAGUUGAAUCAGAGCUGUAGCUGCUGGCCUACACCAUAGCAACAGCAACAUGGGAUUUGAGCUGCACCUGUGACCUAACACCACAGCUCAGGGCAACACCUGAUUCUUAAACCACUGAGCAAGGCCAAGGAUUGAACCCACGUCCUCAUGGAGAAUAAUCAGGUUAGUUACCGCUGAGCCAUGGCAGGAUCUUCUCUUCUUCCCUUCUUGCUUCUUUUUGUCCUCCUUUUCAGUUUCCUCUGUAGGGAUAUUUCAUCUUCCAGAUUCAUGUUCAUGUCCCUGAAGGUUUAACAGCAGUCUGCCUCUUUUCAUUCUCUCUUCUCCUUGUAGAUGAUGGUACGUGUGUCCAUGACUCUGAACUCUGAUGACCACUUACACAUACAUGAACCACAGUUAGUUAUCUUCAAACUUCUCCAAGCUCUCCAUCCUCUAUAUCCAACUUAUUAUGUGAAAAACAUUAAAUAUUUCCCAAGACCUUACAAUCUCUGAUAAACUUCAACAAACCUGGCCGCCUUCUAUCCUAUUCUGGUUGACUUGAGUCAUUUUAAUCAGAAUCCUAGGAUUCAUUCUCUGCACUGUUGCCUCUCUUCUUCCACAUAUUAAUUCUUCAUUGUGACACCCUGCCAUCCUAGUACUCUAAAUAUCUUUUAAGCUCCUCUUUUUUCCAUUUGAGUCAUCACAAUCCUAAACAAAAUUAUCAUCUUGCCUGUAUCAUACCUGUAGCCCCAUAAAAGCCUAAUUGAUAUGCACAGAUUCAUUCUGGUCUUACUCAUAUUCAUUAUCCGUUUACAUUACAUUUGAAUUUUCAUUUUACAUAAAUAUACCAAUCUCCCAGUUUAAAAUGCUACAAUUGCCUUACAAUGGAAAAACAUUGCUUUCACUAAGGAAAGAAAAACAACUCCUUACUACCACUCCCCUUCUUGCCUCUGUAACAUUAUGUGACACUAAUUUUCCUCUUUGCUCUAAUUUGCUCCAAUUUCUUUUACCUGACAUGCAUCACUCAACAAGAGGUAUUUCCACAUCCUCUAGCCUCUGAUUAGAAUUUCCUUUACAAUUGUCCUUGCGCAGUAUACAAAUUAGGAAGCUGUUUGCCUAGUGCAUCAAUAAUAAUUAUUCUCUGCCACUUUUCUCAGUUUUAUCAUAUCCAAAUAAAAUAGGAUCUUAAUAUUGCCAACCUUUACAUCAGGUUACCUUUGCUUUACCCCAAAUGUGGAAAAAAAUGAAUACAUAAUACUACAGCUUAAAUUUUCCAAAUUAAAAUGCAGAAAAGGAUUACUUCACAGUAGUUGUUACAUGUAAAAUGACUAUUAUAGUAACACACAACCACUUAGAAAAAUAUGACGAGCUAAAAGGUCACCUUUGCAUAUCACUUCUGCAGAGCAAGCUGCUUAAACAAAAAUUAUUGCAUAUCCUACAUUUUUAUUCAUGAAUUUCUCUCAGUUAAGAGGGAAAAUAUUUUUACAGGGCAAAUAUGUUCAAUUUGAAAAUAUAGAAUAUGAGUGUUUUGGACUGAAUGUUUAUGCUUCCCCCGUCCAGUUCAUUAUGUUGAAAUUCUAAUCACAGGUGUGAUAGGGUGGAGCCCUCAUGAAAAAGAUUAGUUCCCUUACAAAAGGAACCCCAGAAAGACCCAGAAGAAGGCUAUCACCUGAACUCAGCCAUGCUGGCAUCGUGAUUUUGAACUUCCAGUCUCCAAAACUGUGAGAAACACAUUUCUGUUGUUUAUAAACUGUCCAAUCUAUGGUACUUUGUUAAAGCAGCCUGAACUGAUUAAGACAAUGGGAAAACCUAAAAAUAAAAGUGAUACUUAUGUUUAUUGAUCUGGUGGUUAGAAAUUUGAAAAUAAAAGAAAUAUGUGACACUAAUGAAAAGAAUACCAUACAAAAUGACAAGAUUUUCAGUAAUCAUUUCAAAUGCUUUAAAGCAGUUGCAGUCUAGAUAAAAUAUUUUUAAUUUCCUUAGUGGAAAGUAUCUGACAAAUAGCUCUUUUGAUUAUAAUGCAAGAGCUUGACCUUAAGUUCUUCAAUGCCUUUAGGUGCCCACUUCAGAGACACCUAUCUUGAAUAAAGACACUGCCAGCUAUACAACUAGACAAAGAGCCAGCUGUCCCACCCAUGAAGUUCCCCUUUUAGAAACCCUGGGUGACCUAGAUAACUGAUUACUUGUUUUGCCCUUCCUGAAUGUUAAUUCCUUCUCUUAUGUUACAUUCACCAGUGAACAGUGAACCCCAGAAACCCUAGGUACCCCUACCUCAACCCUAACAAAGGCAGAGCCCUUGGUCCAGGCUCUCUCUCUCUCUACCCAAGACCUCUCUGUUUGACCCUUGGACAUACAAAUUCAUGACUUGUAAUGAACCUUGAUUUUUCAUAGUUCGCCGAUGGUUGUUGCUAUGGUGAACCUUGUAGUCACAAUAACAGCUAGUCCAGCCAUGAUGUGGGCUCUGGUGGUCUGUGGGGGUAGUGUAUCAUGAAUAUGAGCCCAGGUGGGUUCACCCAGGCAUCUCUAGCUGACAGCAUCACUAUCUAGCUUGGGACUAUACAAAACCAUUUCUCUUGGUGAAAUAGUAAAUUCAUUAGACCACAUGUGUAUUAUUGAAAUAACUUACAAUGUUUUAAGAGUCGCAAUUAUAAUUCAGGUAGGAAUUUCCAUAUAUAAGCAUUGCUUUUUGUUUUAUCUUCAUUUAUGUCUAUUAGGUAAGCACUGUCUCUGCUGAAAACAAGAUCUAUGGAUUUUGUGUGGGAGAUUUAAAGAAAUACUUUGUUCAAAUAGAGAAAGUACAAUGUGAAAUUGUAAUCUUUAAUACGUUGUUUCUCUGGAUAUUAAUUUACUGAUGACAGAAUACAUUGUAUUAAAACAUACACACAUGUAUAUAUAUUUAGAUUAUGAAACACUGUAGUCAUAUUUUGUAUAAAAAAUAAAUCUAUUUUUUCCCAAACAGCUAAUAUCAUCAGCUAAAAAACAAAAAGCACCAGACAAAGAUGGGUUUACAAAUGAAUUCUACCACAUAUUUAAGGAAUAAAUUAAAUUGUUUCUCCAAGUUCUUUCAGAAAAUAGAAGCAGAGGGACUAUUCCGUAACUCAUUGUAUAAGUUAGCAUCACCCUAAUUCCGAACCAGAUAAAGAUAUUAUAUAAAAUGCAAACUGUAAACCAAUGUCACUCAUGAACAUUGCUGUAAAUGUCCUCAAUGAAAUAUUAGCAAAUUAAAUCCAAAAAUGUAUGAACUAAUUAUACAUGAUAACUAGAAUUUAUUUCAAGUAUAUAACACUAUUUCAACACUCUAAAACCUAUUAAUAAAAUUCAUCACACUAGCAGCUAAAGAAUAAAAAUGUUAUGAUCUGGAGUUCCCAUUGUGGCUCAGCCAUAAUGAACCUGAAUAGUAUCCAUGAGGAUGUGGGUUCAAUCCCUGGCCCGCUCAGUGGGUUAAGGAUCCGGUGUUGCCAUGAGCUGUGGUAUAGGUCACUGAUGAGGCUCGGAUGCUGUGUUCCUAUAGCUGAGGCACAGGCUAGCAGCUGCAGCUCCAAUUAGACCCCUAGCCUGAGAACUUCCAUAUACUGUACCUACAGCCCUAAAAAAAAAAAAAAAAGAUGUGAUCAUAUCACUAGAUGCAGAGAAAACAUGAAAAAUCCAACACUUACCAGUGAUAAUAAAUUUUGGCAAAUCAGCAAUAGAGGGGGACCUCUUCAACUGGAUAAAAAAAAGAAAAAAGAUCUGCAAAAUAUCCACAGCUAAGAUUUUACAUAAUGUUAAGGAACUGGUUGUUUCCUGUUAAGAUCAGGACAAGACAAAAGUGUCUCUUCUUUGUCUUAUUCCUGAUCUUAACAGAUGACAUGUAGAAAAUCCCAAAUAAUCAAUAAUAAUAGCAAUAAUAAAACUCCUGGAAGUAAAAUGUAAUGAUAGCCAGGUUGCAAAAUGCAAGGUUCACACAUGAAAGUGAAUUUAUUUCCCAUAUACCAGCAAUGUAAAAUUGGAAUUUGAAAUUAAAAACACAGUAACAUGGAGUUCCUGUUGCAACUCAGGUUAAACAAAUCUGACUAGUAUCCAUGAGGACACAGGUUUGAACCCUGGGCUCGCUCAGUGGGUUAAGGAUCUAGUAGUGCCAUUACCUGUACUGCAGGUUGUGGAUGCAGCUCAGAUCCUGUGUGGCUGUGGCGUAGGCAAGAGGCUACAGCUCUGAUUUGACCUCUAGCUUGGGAACCUCCGUAUGCUAUGGGUGCAGACUCAGACAAAAACCAACCAACCCCCCCCAAAAAAAAAGACCAACAACCAUAACACUAGUACCCACAGAAUGAGUUACUGAGGUGUGACUCUAACAGAAUAUAUACAAGAACUAAUGAGAAAAACUAUAAAGUUCUACUCAGAGAAAUGAACUCUAAAAUGGGAAAAUAUUGUAGGUAUAUGGUUACAAAGACUUAAUAUUGUCAAGAAGUCUUUUCUUCCCAUACUGAUCUAUAGAUUCAAGAAAUCACAAUAAAAAAGCAACAUCUUAUACGGUGGAUAUCAACAAACUGGUUCUGAACUUUGUAUAGAAAGGCAGAAAACCCAUACUAGCUAACACACUAUUGAAAGAAAAGAACAAAAUCAGAAGACAGACAUAACUUGACUUCACUUUUUUUCCCAUGCAUUAAGUGAAAUACUCACUCUUUAAAGAUUGAAACUGUCUGUUUGAAGCAUCUGUUCAUAUAAAAUCAACUUUAUGUAAACUAAUCAUAUACAUUAACUGAAAUUCUUACAGGAGUCAAAACUUUAAAAGUUCAUGUCAUAUUUUCUACAAGCAUAGGAAAAUCUGCAAUUGAAAAUUGUGAAAAGUAAUUUAGAAAAACAGUCGCUUGAUUAAAACAAAAAUUCAAAUUCAAAGAUUAUAUGUAAAUGCACUUUCUGCAAUUGCAGUGAUCACCCUGGGGCACACUUUAUUGAUGUUUCUUUAGAUAAUUUGCUGAUUUUCAUGUGAUCAUUGAUAUCAAUAUAUAUCCUUCAUAUUAAUGGUAUCAUAAAAGGCAGCAAACAUUUUGGUAUAAUGCAUCAAUUAAAGAUUUAAAUUUCCCUUAAAUAUCUACUUUAUUUUUAUACACUCAUUUGCAUUAAUAUAAUUUAUUGUAAACAUUCAAAGAAUCAAAUUUUCGAAUAAAUUAAUUUUUACCAGUUUCCACUCGACAAUAAAUUUUAAAAUAACCACAGCAAGAAUAUAUGUUCUAAGUAAGACCCCUUAGUCUCGAUGUUCUGCAUAGAUUUCCUGUACAGCCAAUCUAUAAGUUCCUACCUCCCCUCUAGUUCCAAAUGACUGGCCCUUUGGAGGCUCCAUGCAGCAGCCAAAAUGUGACUGGAUGGUACAUUGAGGGCCUGGCAGGGCAGAGAGCAUGAUCCUAGCUCUCUGUCACAUCCAGCAGGGUGAUUGGCAGUGAGCGUUUCCUCUCCACACUGCUCAGCACCCUGGCUCUGGAAGAAAGCAUGAGUUCCAUGACUCAGGAAAGGGGAGAGGGAAAAAGUAAUGGGGUGCAUUUUUCAAAAAUCUUAAGGUAAAACUUCUCUUUACUACACGUAGAUUUGAUUACAGGGAUUAAUAAUGGUCCUCUGUUACAGACUUGAAAAUCUAGAACAAAUGCUAGGAUAUUAAGUAUAAUCAAAGUAUACUUUGAUAUACAAAGUAAAAAUAUACAAAGGAUAGUAUGGAUCAUUAAGUAUAAAUCAAAACUGUGCCAGACAAACUAGGCUAUAUGGCCCCCUUAGUUGUGUGUGUGUCUGUCUUCCCCCAGUGUUAGUAUCAUUUUAAUUGAUUUACCACACAGUUUGGAUGGUCUGUUCACUCUAUUUAAUUCCUCUAGGGAAGUGGUUCUCAACUGUAUGUAACUUUGCCAUGCAGGGGACAAUUGGUAAUGUCAAAAAUGGAGACAUUUUUGACUGUCAGCAGUGGGGAACUGUUACUGGCAUCUAGUGAGUAAAGGCCAAGGAUGCUGCUAAACAUUCUACAAUGUACAGAACAGAACCAUCCCCAAACAAAUCAUUCUAUGUUCAGUAUGCCAGUGGUACUGGGUUGAGGAACCCUUCCCUAGAUUGAUCAUAGCAGCUUGGAUCAAAAAAGUAAGGAGAAUUUUGAAAUUUUGAAAAGAUCACCUACCCGAAUGAAUGUUCAAUUUAAAACAGACAUUUAAACACUACAGAAAUAUUAAGAUUUCAGUUAUUAUUGUCACAUUUCUAUUGCUGAACUAUCGGGUCUCUCUUAGUGAUAAGUGGUCCACUUAAAAUUAAAAGAAAAAAUAUUUUGUAAAACAUUAAGAUGUUGGAUAUAAAUGAUGAAAAUAAAACAAAUAGCCUAGGACAGUAAGAUGUUAUAAAAUACCUUUCAAGGAACCAGCUUUUAGAACUUACCUCAUUAAUCCUCACACUAUGCCCACAGGGUAGCGAUAAUAAUUAUUGUAUCUGUUUUACAGAUGAGAGAACUUGGUCACACAGAGGUUAAUUACUUACACAAGUGUAAUUUGAGAGUUGGUUAUAGAACUGGGAAUAACACUCCUAUCUUAGAACUUCAGACUGUAACUAUACCCAUUUAUUCUGUAACAAGUAUAGUUUAAAUACUAUAGUUUUCAUUAUUACACUAGCAAUUAAAUUGUACCACGUAUCCUAGGACUAAUUUUAUUUAUCAACUGAAUUUAUUUAUCAGUUGAAUGGCUAUGAGAUACAGGGUAUUGUGCAGAGUACUGUGAGAAUUUUUCAGUAGUGAUUGGAGGAAGGGUCUUGCAGCUCAAGAUGGGAUUGUUCUCCAGACUUACCUUCCUUCCUCAGGAGGAGUCCUUGUAUUCAGUUAGGUGCCCUCCAUGUGGUAGGUACACCUGCAUGUGGUCUCCAUAGAUCCAAAUCUCUAGAAAGGUCAUUGGUUUUCCUAUUGUGGCAUAAACACAGGUAUUCACUACAUGGUACUGAUUUACAGAAUACUCAUUAUUCAUCGAUUUCAGCCCUUUAUAAGUGGAAAGUUUGAAUAGAAAAAUAAUAGCUUUCUAUAAUUAUAUUCUAAGAAGCCCCAUCCAGUUAAAGACAUAGUAAUUGGAUAGCACCUGACACUUAAAAAGUGUAUCUUGCAUGUUAUUUAUUUCCGUUCCUACAACUGCACCUUGUGGCAUAUGGAGGUUCCCUGGCCAGGGGUUGAAUCAGAGCUGCAGCUGAGGCCUACACUACAGCCACUGCAACACCACAUCUGAGACUCAUC